GAUUCCAACAGGAGAAUCUAGACAACAACAAGAUUCUCUACGAGAAAGUCCAAGAGAUGGCGACAAAGAAAAGCUGCACUCCUGCACAACUAGCUCUAGCAUGGGUUCACCACCAAGGAGAUGAUGUUUGUCCUAUUCCAGGAACCUCCAAGAUCCAAAACCUCAACCAGAACAUUGGAGCUUUAUCAGUGAAGCUCACUCCUGAAGAGAUGGUUGAGCUUGAAGCCAUUGCUCGACCGGAUUUCGUGAAAGGGGAACGAUAUGACAACAACAUGGUUACUUACAAAGACUCAGAGACUCCACCAUUGUCUUCUUGGAAAGAAAAAUAAAAUACAUGUUUGGAAACUGUUUUGAGGGUAUACCGCAUUGGCCAAAUCGAGGUAAUAUUGUGCUGAAGAUGUGUCUGUGUGAAAUAAGUUAAGUAUAUGGGUGUGCGAGUUUGCAAUAAGAAAGAACCAAUGCCUUAGAAAGAAUAAAGGUUUUGUACAAAGCAAUGCAUUAUGCUUUCAAGAAUAAAAUAUGCAUAAUGCAUUAUGAAGAUUCCAUUACUUUAUCUUGAACGGGGUGAGAGAAAAAGUGGUUGCAACUUGCAAGUUCCACAAGUUAAUAAUUGAUUGAGAAAGAAAGUGAAUAGAUGUUAGACUAUAUCAAAAAUGAAUUUGACUUAUGAAGAUUCCAUUACUUUAUUGGUUAACAAAUUCAAUUUUGUUUUCGUUAAGACAGGAAAAAACUGCACCAAUUAGACAAAAGCGACACGGCUUUUUCUUGUUCAUCAUCACACCAACCAAACUCCACUCAAAUUCACAGCUCUACCUAGACAAGUCAAUAGACAAAGAGAGAGAGAGAGUUGUGACAAGAGAUUCAUGGCGGAACCUUGCCGAGUGAGAAGGAUGAAGCUAGGAAGCCAAGGCCUUGAGGUAUCGGCGCAAGGCCUUGGUUGCAUGGGCCUCUCUGCUUUCUACGGUGCUCCCAAGCCGGAAACCGAAGCCAUCGCUCUCAUCCACCACGCUAUUCACUCCGGUGUCACUUUCCUUGAUACCUCUGACAUUUACGGUCCUGAAACCAACGAGGUUCUUCUCAGCAAGGUUCGAUUUUUGAUCAUUCCCCAUCUUCGAUUUCAUAUUGAUAUUGUUUAAUAGAGGAACUGGCCUUGAUUCGUUGAGCUUCAUAGCUGUAGAAAGGAUUCCGAUGUUGCAAGUUUGGAUUUUUGUUGAAAAUUUGGAUUUUUGUCAGGCUCUGAAGGAUGGAGUGAGAGAAAAAGUGGAACUUGCCACCAAAUAUGGAAUCAGGUAUGCAGAGGGGAAAGUAGAGUUUAACGGAGAUCCUGCGUAUGUAAGAGCUGCGUGUGAGGCAAGUUUAAAGAGGCUAGAUGUUACCUGCAUUGAUCUCUAUUAUCAGCAUCGAAUUGAUACUCGUGUCCCUAUCGAAAUCACUGUAAGUAAGCCCUCUCCUUUUCAAUCUUCCUUGAUGGUUUUGCAACUUUCAAAUGAAAUGGAAGUUAUGUACUUCAUCUCCGUGGCUAGGGACAUGUUGGGGCUAAUAUAGAGUUGAAGAAUUUAGAUUUCAGAACCUGUAAAAUGAUCUGGUGAAAUGAUCUUGAACUGAGCGGUUUGGAGGCUUUCUCAUCUAUCAUCACCUGUAAAUAGUCCAUCUUGCGAGGAUAGGAUUGUCACUUAGUCCUUCCAAUGUGGGAUCUUAUCAUCCCCCUAAGAAUGUUUCAUUUGAAUAGACUCCUCCAUUAGGUUUGACACUGAGCUCUAAUUGGGUUGCCACACUUGAUGACCUUUAUAGAAAGCCGGCACCUUUUGCUGAACUUAACAAUCUCUUUUGUCUGUCAAUUUCAAAGAUAGGAGAGCUGAAGAAGCUAGUUGAAGAAGGUAAAAUAAAGUAUAUCGGUUUGUCAGAAGCUUCAGCUUCAACUAUUAGAAGAGCACAUGCUGUUCACCCGAUAACCGCUCUGCAAAUUGAAUGGUCCUUAUGGUCGAGAGAUGUGGAAGAAGAUAUCAUUCCAACUUGCAGGUAUCCAGAUUUCAUUUAAUCCUCCUUUCUUGAUGCACUAUCUAUCAAGUACGUAACAUCUUCUCUCUCUUUCUUCAGGGAACUUGGAAUUGGAAUUGUUGCUUACAGUCCUCUGGGACGAGGUUUCUUUGCAUCAGGACCCAACCUUGUUGAGAACCUAGACAAUAAUGACGUCAGAAAGGCAAGUACACAGCCUUUUUAUGACUUGUUUGAUUGAUGAACUGUUGGUAAUCAACUCACUGUUUAUCUGCUCAACUCUGUUUCUUAUUGCAGACUCUACCAAGAUUCCAACAGGAAAACUUAGUUCACAACAAGAUUCUCUUUGAGAAAGUUUCUGCAAUGUCGGAGAAGAAAGGGUGCACUCCCGCACAACUAGCCCUUGCAUGGGUUCAUCACCAGGGAGAUGAUGUUUGCCCCAUCCCAGGAACCACUAAGAUUGAAAACCUUAACCAGAACAUUGGAGCUUUAUCAGUGAAACUUACUCCCGAAGAGAUGUCUGAGCUCGAGUCCCUUGCCCAACCAGAGUCUGUGAAAGGAGAAAGAUCCAUUAGCAUCCUGACCACGUUCAAGAACUCUGAGACUCCACCAUUAUCUUCUUGGAAAGCCGCUUAAAAUUGUCCGAGUUUCUCUGGUUGUUGUGGGGUUCAUGACACUGAAGUGGUCUAACUUAUAUCAGCCAGAUCAAGGUAAUAAAUGUGUUAAUGCCUUGAAGAAUAAAUAAUUUAUAGAGUUCCCCAGGUGAAAACUUCAAUUUACAUUUCAUACAUUGUAACCAAACUCUAUAAACAAAUAUAUGUUCUGAUACAAACUUAAAUAACGUUUACACCAAAAAUCUUACCAAGCUAUCUAUAUCGUCACCCAACUCUAUGAAGGAUAUGUGCGAUGAAAAUGUCUCGGUUCCAUCUCUUUUGUUCUUGUUUUUUUCUUCUGCAUUUCCCCCACUUCUCCUUUUUGAUUUUCAUAAUUAGUUUUGCAGAUAAAGAUUUCCAUAAUAUUCAACAAAAAAGUAUAAUUUUCAUAAAGCUAAGAAAAAGUAUUUAUUUAAAAAAUUAACUCACAGGUCAUUAGAUUUACUUCAAUUUAAUAGAGAGGUAAAGUGUUUAACUUAGACUCCGAUGAGUAACAUUAAUUACAUAAUUGCAUAAAAUUAUCACAUAAAUUGCAAAUUGAAAACUCGCAGAAAUUGUAGAAUGAAAAUUUGUGCUGAUUCAAUACAUUUGUAUACCCAUUUACUAGAUUUUAACCCGCGGUACACCGCGGGAUGAUUUAAUUUUAAAGUUAGUAUAAAAAUAUUUUGUAAAUUGUAUCUCCUUAUAACAUAUUUAUUUAUAUUAUAGUUUACAAUUGUUAUUAAGUAACGGUAUACCACGAGUCCACGAGAUAAUUAUUAAUGAACUGAGGAUUUAACCCGUAUUAAAGCGGUAUAUAAAUAUUGAUUCAAAUUCGUCCGCCAUAUAAAUCAUUUCCGAAAUAUAACCCGUUCCGUAAUUUCUUAACCCGUCCUGUGAUUUGUAUUAAAAAAAAUAAGGAUUAAAUCCGUAUUGAAGCGGCGGAUUAAUGAUAUUUUAAUCUUUUUAUUAUUGUUGAUUCAAAAACCCGUCCCGCCAAACCCAUCCCGCCAAAAAACUCAUUUAUUUUAUUAAUGUUCUUAUUUAUGAUAUGAUUCUGAAUCAUUGUCUAAAUAUUUUAAUCGAUAUAGAACGUUGAACACACAUUUUCGUCAAUUGGAUAAUAUAUGUCCGUUUUUAAAAUUUCGAAUCACAGUAUAUGCAGAAAAAAAAUUGAUUUUUUUUUUACUUUAUGUAUUAUAUGAUGAUUCAAAACAGUUAAAAACAAAUCAAACAAAGGUGAUAGGAGAAUCAUAAUUAUAAAUCUUAAUCAAAUCUUCUAAAAAUCUAAAUUAUUAAAUAUGGAAUAUCCAGUGUAUGAGUUGGGUUAAAUAUAACCCGACCCAACAAAUUUUUUGUGAAGGAAUUUUUAAAAUGGGUCGGAUAUCCGAUAUACCCGAAAGAUUUUUUACCCACCCGUCACAAAAAGUGCUGCGAUUAUACUAGUAUAGAUUUGCAGAAUGAGUUAUAGGCGAAAAAGGCAAAUUUGCGUUUUGUCAAACAUCGUAGAUAAUUUUUUUUUAUUAGUAAACUUUUUGCAUAGUCGCAUUAGAAAAUGUCAUUCAAUUUAAUAAACUUAUAAAAAAUAUAAUUGUUGUUAAAAUAUUAUAACAACAAAAAUAAAAAUAAACCUCUUCAUAAACAUUAUUAAUAGAUUUUAAAUUUGAAUUAACAAGAAAAAAAAAUUGAAGUUUAUAGUUUCUCACAAGUGAAGAAGACUGUUAAGAGUAUAUUUGGUUAAAAGGAGUUUGACUUGUGAAAAUUCCAUUACUUUUUUUGGUUAACAAUUUCAAUUUUGUUUUCGUAAAGAGGAAAAAAAACUGCACCAACCAGACAAAAGCGACACACGGCUUUUCUCUUCAUCAUCAUUCAUCAUUCACCAACCCACCACCUCCAACAACAAUAACUCCACUCAAAAUUCACAGCUCUACAAGAGUCACCUAGACAAGUCAAGAGACAGAGAAAGUUCUGACUUCUGACAGAGAUUCAUGGCGGAAGCUUGCGGAGUGAGAAGGAUGAAGCUGGGAAGCCAAGGCCUUGAGGUAUCGGCGCAAGGCCUCGGUUGCAUGGGCCUCUCUGCUUUCUACGGUGCUCCCAAGCCGGAAACUGACGCCAUCGCUCUCAUCCACCACGCUAUUCACUCCGGUGUCACUUUCCUUGACACCUCUGACAUCUAUGGUCCUGAAACCAACGAGGUUCUCCUCGGAAAGGUUCGAUUUUUAUGAUUCCCGAUCUUCGAUUUGAUCUUCGGUUUUAAAAUUUUGUUCUCUUUUGGGCAACAAAGAACGAUUUAGAGAUGGGAAUUGGCCUUUGAUUUCUUUGAGCUUCAUAGCUGUAGAAUUGAUUUCAAAGUUUGGAUUUUUUUCAGGCUCUGAAAGAUGGAGUUAGAGAAAAAGUGGAACUUGCAACCAAAUUUGGGAUCAGUUAUGCAGAGGGAAAGAGAGAGGUGAGAGGAGAUCCUGAGUAUGUAAGGGCUGCUUGUGAGGCUAGUUUAAAGAGGCUAGAUAUUGCCUGUAUUGAUCUUUAUUAUCAGCACCGUGUCGAUACUCGUGUUCCUAUCGAAAUCACUGUAAGCUUCCUCUUGCAAAUCCUCCUUCAUGCUAUAGUUUCAAAGUUUACAAUUUGGUUAGUCUUAGUCUUUUACUCUUGUCCCUACCGAAAUCACUGUAAGCCCUCUUGCCAAUCCUACUUAAUGGAUUUGAAACUUUCAAAUGAAAUGGAAGUUAUAUAGUUCACUACUUCAAGAGAAAUCUCAGAGAGCUUCACAUCUUGGCUUGGUUUAUCGGACUAAUAGGGACAAAGAAAAUAGAUUGGAGAUGAUGUUUUCUGCUUAGGUUAUUACUCUUUCGAAGUGGCUAGCUUAUUCACAAAGAACAAUGUCUGGUGUAAUGAUCUUUAACUGAGAGAUUUUGAGGCUUUCUUAUCUACUUUCACCUAUAAGUACUCUCCUAAGCCAGCUUGUGAAGAUAGGGUGCCCUUUGGACCUAUUAGCCAUUCACUUUUUCCUCUCCUUUCCAAUGUGGUAUGUUUGGUGAUAAUUAGUCCCUCAGUACCAUCUCCUCUAAGGAUUUUUCGUAUGAAUAGACUCUGUUAGGGUCGGUUCUGAGCUCUACUUCCUGACCUUCAUAGAAAGCCGAAAUCUUUUCCUGAACUUAACCAUUUUUUUGUCUGUCAAUUCCAAGAUGGGAGAACUGAAGAAGCUGGUUGAAGAGGGUAAAAUAAAGUACAUUGGUUUGUCUGAAGCCUCUGCUUCAACUAUCAGAAGAGCGCAUGCUGUUCACCCAAUUACUGCUGUGCAGUUAGAAUGGUCCUUGUGGACGAGAGAUGUGGAAGAAGAAAUCAUUCCGACCUGCAGGUAUUCAGGUUUCAUCCUACUUUCCUGGUGCAAUAUCUAUCAAUCAUGCAAAUUCAUAUUCUCUUUCCUUCUUCAGGGAACUUGGGAUUGGGAUUGUUGCUUACAGUCCUCUAGGACGAGGUUUCUUCGCAUCUGGACCCAAGCUUGUUGAGAACCUAGAAAAGGAUGACUUCAGAAAGGCAAGUACAUAGUCUUUGUGUAUGACUUGUUUGAUUGAUGAACCUUACAUAACCUGUGGAUAAAUCAAAUGACUUUAUACAAACUCAAUUAUUGCAGGCUCUACCAAGAUUCCUAGAGAAAAACUUAGACCACAACAAGAUUGUUUAUGAGAAGGUUUGUGCAAUCUCGGAAAAGAAAGGAUGCACUCCUGCACAGUUAGCUCUGGCAUGGGUUCACCACCAGGGAGAUGAUGUUUGUCCCAUCCCAGGAACCACUAAGAUCGAAAACCUCAACCAGAACAUUGGAGCUUUAUCAGUGAAACUCACUCCCGAAGAGAUGACUGAGCUUGAGGCCAUUGCCCAACCAGGUUUUGUGAAAGGGGAAAGAUACAGUAGCAUGAUACCCACUUUCAAAAACUCUGAGACACCGCCAUUGUCUUCUUGGAAAGCUGCUUAAAAUCGUCUGAGUUUGUCUGGUUGUUGUGGGGUUCAUGACACUGAAGUGGUCUAACUUAUGUCAGUCAGAUCAAGGUAAUAAAUGUGUUAAUGCCGUGAAGAAUAAAUAAUGUAUAGAGUUCCCCCAAGUGAAAACUUCAAUUUACAUUUUCAUACAUUGUAACCAAACUCUAAAAAAUAAGUAGUUAUUUUCACUUGAAGUUAUUUUCACUUGAAGUUAUUUUCGGUUUGGUUUAAUUAAACCAGGAUUCGGGUGUUAUUUUCGGUCCAACACUUAAACAAGCGAAGCGACCCAAUUGGUUGGUUAAUCAUCAUCUUCAUCGAGUCACACCCUAGUUUGCCACUAAACCGAAAAAAUGAAUCUGGCCUGCCAUUUUAUGAUCUAUAUGCCACUAUAUAUAUGUGUUAUCUCCAUUUUACCCUUAAUGAAUUAUUCCUUAUUUAAUUUUUAAAAAGCAAAAGAGAAAAUAAAAAAAAAAACAAAACUCUCAGUAUGUGGGUCCCAAAAAACGUUUAGCGUAUGAUUUUUUUUUAAUGUUGUAUUUACUCGAUAUAUGGGUCCUACUAAAAAGUUUUUUUUUUUUUUUUUUCGGCAGAAUAAUACUCAUAGUUGUCCAGUUGUACUAUCAUAAUCAUAGUUGAACUUUCCACAGUUUUCAUAAUUUGCAGUUGGACGAGACUGUAAAUUAUUUUGCAUUACCAAAGUUUUCAUAAUGGAACAUUGGUGAAAACUACAUUUUCACUUUUUUUACUUCAUAUAUGGUGAUUAUAUACUAAGUAUUCCUUAUAGUAGAAAGGAUGUUUUAUGUGAAAACAACAUUAUUUCUUAGAAGUUAUUAAUUGUAUUGAUCCGAAAUAGUUUGUUUAUAUUUUGGGGAAUUUAAUAUAUAAUUUUACGUUUAUAAUAAAUCAAAUUAUUAUAAGUUAUAAAUUAGGAUUCUAUAAAAAAAUUCUCCAAAAAAAUCUUCAAAUAUAUAUAAACUAUUUUAAAUCAAUACAACCAUAAUUUAUAAAUUUUGUAGCAAGCUUUGUUUUUUUUUUUGUUUUUUCACAUAAAACACUCCUUCUAGUAUAAGGAAGACUUAGUACAUGAUCACCUCGUAUGAAGCAAAAGAGGUAAAAACCAAAUUUUCCUGAACAUUGUAUUAUGAAAACCUCGUAUAUGCUAAUUAAUAGUGAACAAUCAUGUGUCCAACUACUAAUUAAUAAUUUAUACAAUAGUUCAACUGAAAAUACGAAAAAUUCGCCAAAGUCCAACUAUGAAUAUGAGAGUACAACUGGACAACUAUGACUAUAUCCAGCCGCCAAAUCCAAACGUGCAUUUUACUCAGGCCCACAACUGUGCACUUUAGUCGGACCUACAACUGUGCAUUUUACGACACGUAGGAUGAUUUUAAAACAUUUUAUAUUGAAACAUUUUAUAUUUUUUUUAUUUUUUUUUUCUACUUUUCUUCUUUCUCAGUUUAUCUAGUUGGACCGAAUAAUUAGAUCUCAGUUGUACCUAAUAAUUGCAGUUGUACCAAAAUAUCAUCAAAGUACAUAAACAAAAGAUAUAGUUUACCAUAUAUAAACAUCAGUUUCGUUGGAUCUGUAGUUUUCAGUUUCAGUGUCCGCUUCAUCUUCUUUCUCUCAAGUAGUGGGUUAUUGGAUUUGGGUCGAAUUAUUUUGGUUGGGUCUGUAGUUUCCAAUCAUCUAAAAGGUACAUUUCCAUCGCUUUUGAUUUUUUAAAAAAUGGUAAAUAAAAUUACAAAGAAGACGGUGGCAUUCUAGCAUUUUUUUCCGGAGAAAGUGGCUUUCUAGCCAUUGUUUCAUCUUCAUCAGAGAUCAACCCAACUUCACUCAAUGCUGAUGAUGCAGUCUCAGCUCUUAAAAAGCAUAAAUCAAAGUGAAAGAAACCAUUACCACCGUGGGUCGUUCGAUUGCAACUAAAUAAUGUGAAUCAUUUCCAGUUCAACAAUGGAAGGUCUUCGAGAAUCUGAGCAUCUCUUCGUCAAUAAGGACCUCGUCGUGCGUCUCUCUCUCUCUCUAUUCAUCUAUAUAUUUCCUUAUCUGUGUUGCAGACAUUAAACGAUAGAUAAAGGAAAUGAUGUCAUGUGAUCAUCUCAAUUUAGGAUUUUCCUGGUUUAUGUCUGCUACACUAAACCCUAAAUGAUCGAUCCUCUUCAGUAGUAGCUUAAGAAUCUCCAUGGUCAAAAAGGCUUCUUUAUUUUCUCUCACUAAUAUCAUUGUUGCUUUUUUUUUAUGGCUGGAUUAGGAAUUUUAGUUAUCAAUGGAGCAAUUGGCACAAACCCUUUUUCUGAUUUUAGUCUUUUUCACAUGACAGGAUGAUUAUGUCGAAAUUUCCGGUAAAGAUGAUACAUCAGAAAGUUCCAAUGUCAAAAGGAAAGUUGAAAGUCUCUUCUGUGUUAUGAGAAAGAGAACUUGUAGGCACAACUCUGUCGAUGAUGAUGAUAUGUUUCCGGAUUUAGAUAAUAAUGCAGAGAAAGGUGAUGGUGAUGAGGAUAUACGAAAUUGUCUGAGACCUGAAAGUGACUUCUGGUUUGAAAAUCUUACGGAUAGUCCUUAUGAUCCAUUGGAUGAAGGUACCAUUGUAGACGACAGUGGCAGUGACACAAACAUAUCUGAAUCUUCAGAAUUUGAUGUUAUAUCGGAACAUGUUCUAGAAGAAAAUGAUUUGGUAACGGGAUCGAAAUCUUUGGCUAUAUGGUCCAGUGAGGAUAAGGGAGCUCUGGUUAGUAAAUGGUCUUUAGAAACUCGGAAUUCUAUCUUGUUGUUAUCUCCUGAUGAGCAUGGUGUAAGGUCUAAAGAAGAUGAGGUGUUAUCAUCUGUUUCUGCAUCCACAAAGAAAUUACAGCAUAUCAUUGAUCCCCAAAUUAUCUCUGGACAUAGUAAUGACAUCUCUCUCUUCCAUAUAGAACGGAAAAAAGAUCGAAUAUUCUGCAUCACUGGGCAUUGUGAAGAUAUAUUGAGGUGCAGUGUCAACAAAGAAGAUUCAGAAAUCCCAUGCAAUUUUGAUAUCUUCAAGAAUGAUGGCGACAAAUCAUCUGCAAAUGAAGUUAGAUGUGGAGAUGUCAUCAACAUGCAGGGGUCUAUGGAGAUAAUGUGCAUUAAUGAUGAGCUUACACUGUGGAAUAAAGACAAUGAACCAAUACCGAUCAGCAUUGUUCCUCCUGAUGGUUGGGAAAGCGUAUUGCUAGAAACAUGUUCACUUCAUCAGAUAGACAGAUGUAUAAAUGAAUACAAUGUUCGUGAUGAUAACAUUGGCCUUGAAAUAUCUCCAAUACCUUUAACAAAAACUCUGGAAAGACCUAGUAGGCCAUUGUCAGUUUGUGGCUCUAUAGCUGCAGUCAGAAACUUACCUCUAAUGGAAGAUAGCUCAGGUGCUUGUAGUUCUUUGGAUGAACAAGUAUAUGCAAAUGCUAAUAGCUCUGAGGACAGGGACGCAGAACUUGCUCAAACCCCAUCAACUCUAUAUCAGGAAGAAGUGGAUGGAGAAGAUGAGAUUGACAUUGAUGCAAUGGUAAACCCUGAUUACUCUAUACACAAUCGUGUCACAAAUUAUCAUUCAAUGUGUUUUCUGAUCUCUGAUAUCACAUGAAAACAUCUCCAGAUCCGCAAAUUGAAUCUAGUCCCAGAUGAUUCAGAUUCAUGCUUCAACAGGGAAGGUAAACCGUAUGGCUUAUGAUGUCCAAUCAAUCAUGUAACUAAUUCACACUGUUGCAUCCAAAGAGAAUGUAAAAAAAAAAAACAGUUAUGUCUCUCUCAAACUAUAGUUGUCUCAAUUAUGGUUCGCUUCAUGAUACCUAGAAUGGAACAUAUAUAAGCACCCAAGACACGCCUUAAUUGGAUUGGAACACUGCACAAGAACUUCAUUGCAAAGAGCAAAUAUGUUUCAUGGGGCAAUUGCCAUCCUGCAUUGUCGUGAUUCAAAGCAUUUUGUCAGAAAACGCGAGGUAUGUUAGACAAAACAUUUUCUUCUGUCUUGAUGUUUUCAUGUCGUCUCAAGUCCUCUUAGUUACAUGGCAGAAGAUCAUUUAUUUGUCAUAGGUAAUUAUUGGGAGAUCAUCUGAUGGCCUGAAUGUUGACAUUGACUUGAGUAAAUAUAAUUAUGGGAGUAAGAUAUCUCGGCGUCAGGUGAUCCUCUUUCCCUUUCCCAAAUUAAAAUUAGUUCACUAGUUAAGUUCUUAAUUACCAUCUUGCUAAUGUGCUAUAUUUUCUAUCUCUAUAUUAAGGCAUUGGUUAAGCUAGAGAACAACGAAUCAUUCUCUCUAAAGAACCUUGGAAAGCGACAUAUUCUUGUAAAUGGAGAAAAACUCGAUACAGGACAGAUUGCAACCCUCACAUCGUGUAGUUCAAUCGAUGUAAGUCCGAGCUUAUGCUUUGCACUAGUGUGUUUAUGCAUCUUUCUUUAACUAGAACGCCCAAAUUUUGCAGAUUAGAGGAGUAACCUUUGUGUUCAAGAUUAACAAAGAAGCCGUGAGACAAUUCUUGAAGAACAACACACGAAGAAAGACCGAGGAAGACACCAAAUUCAGAUGGUGCGAAUAGAUUCUGUUAAAUUCUCUUUUGCUCUACCACUCUCUGCAUAGUCUUAAUGACCCAUCCACAUGAUUUAAAUGUCCAACCUGACUUAGGGUUAGGAGUUUAGACACCUAAUGCCAAUGAAUGAAUGAUCCCAUCAUAUCUGUGUUAAUGCCUUGAAGAAUAAACUUUGUAUAGAGUUUCCCAAGUGAGAACUUCAAUUAACAUUUCGUACAUUUUGACCAAUCUCUAUUAGGAAGAUUUGUUCUGUAACUCUUUCAAGCUAAAACCUUACCGUAACAAAAGCUCCCUGUUCAUCCAACUCUAUGAAAGAUCUGCUGCGACGUAUCGGUUCAAUCUCUGUUCUUGAUUUCUUCUUCCGCAUUUUCCACUUCUUCCCAAUCGAUUUUCCUGUAACCAUGUUUCCUCUGUCAGCUUCUAUUCAAUUACUUAUGCUUCUUCUAUUACCAAUUUAGAGUCUCAACAGUGAAGAUCAGCUUCUUCUCUAAUCUCUAUCAACUUCUACUCAAUAACUUGUGCUUCUCUUACCAGUUUUUAGAGUCUCAGUGGUAGUAGUUAAUCCAUCAUCUUAUUUUCCGUUUGAUUAAACUUGAUUGGUAUACUUUGGUUUAAGAGUGUUGGUUUAGUUAAACCAGGAUUUGAGUUCAAUCAUCAUCAUCAUCAUCAUCAUCAUCAUCAGUCAAAUCAAAACUCUACGAGAGAGAGAGAGAGACUGAGAAAUUCAUGGCGGAAGCUUGCAGAGUGCGGAGGAUGAAGCUAGGAAGCCAAGGCCUCGAGGUAUCGGCGCAAGGCCUUGGUUGCAUGGGCCUCACCGGUCAUUACGGUGCUUCCAAGCCGGAAACUGAAGCCAUCGCUCUCAUCCACCACGCUAUUAACUCCGGCGUUACUUUCCUUGACACCUCUGACAUGUAUGGUCCUGAAACUAAUGAAAUUCUCCUUGGAAAGGUUCGAUUUUGUUAGUAUCUGAUAUUUCAUUUCGUUCUCUGCUGGGAAAACUUAGAGAUGGGAAUUAGCCUUGAUUUGUUUGAGCUUCAUAGCUUUAGAAAUGAUUGGUCACUUGUUGAAACUUCGAAUUCUGUUAGGCUCUUAAGGAUGGUGUGAGGGAGAAAGUGGAGCUUGCGACCAAAUUUGGAAUUAGCUAUGCAGAGGGAAAGAGGGAAAUUAAGGGAGAUCCUGCCUAUGUUAGAGCUGCUUGUGAGGCUAGUUUGAAGCGGCUAGAUGUUUCCUGUAUUGAUCUUUAUUAUCAGCAUCGGAUCGAUACCCGUGUCCCUAUCGAAAUCACUGUAAGCCCUCCUCUUACUUUCAAUUGAAAUGGACGUUACUUAUACUUCAGGUGGGCUUGAGUGUGUCUCAGUAAGCUUCACAUCUUUGGAUUGGUAUAUGUUUUGAGAUGAUGUUUUCUGCUUAGGUUACUCUUUUAGAAAUUGCUAGCUUAUUCAUAUAGAACCGACUUCUGGUGAAAGUAUCUCUCAUCUACCACUUAAAAGCCACCUUGUGAGGAUAGGGUGCCCUUUAGAGUUUAGACUUAUAAGCCAUUUACUUAGACACUUUUCCUUCCAAUGUGGGAUCUUAUCAUCUCCCUUAAUGAUUGUUCGUUUAAAUAGAAGAUCCUCUCUAGUUCGAUUGCCAUACUUCCUGACCUUUAUAUAGAAAGCUGUUUUGCUGAACUUAACAAAUGUUUUGUCUGUCAAUUCCAAGAUGGGAGAACUAAAGAAGCUGGUUGAAGAGGGUAAAAUAAAGUACAUCGGUUUGUCUGAGGCCUCUGGCUCGACUAUCAGAAGAGCGCAUGCUGUUCACCCAAUUACUGCCGUGCAGUUAGAGUGGUCCCUGUGGACGAGAGACGUGGAAGAAGAAAUCGUCCCAACCUGUAGGUAUGCAGAUUUCAUCCUCCUUUCAUGAUGCAUUAAUUCAUCAAUCAUGUAACGUCUUGUCUUCUUUCUUCAGGGAACUUGGGAUUGGGAUUGUUUCUUACAGUCCUCUUGGACGAGGUUUCUUUGCAUCGGGACCCAAGCUUGUUGAGAACCUAGUCAAUAAUGACUUCAGAAAGGCAAGUACACAGCCUUUUUAUGACUUAUUUGAUUGAUUAACCUUAAAGAAGCGGUGGAUAAAUCAAAUGACUUUAUAUAAAACUCAAUUAUUGCAGGCUCUACCAAGAUUCCAACAGGAAAACUUAGACCACAACAAGAUUCUCUACGAGAAGGUUUGUGCAAUAUCAAAGAAGAAAGGAUGCAGUCCCGGACAACUAGCCCUCGCAUGGGUUCACCACCAGGGAGAUGAUGUUUGCCCCAUCCCAGGAACCACUAAGAUUGAAAACCUCAACCAGAACAUUGGAGCUUUAUCAGUGAAACUCACUCCUGAAGAGAUGUCUGAGCUCGAGACCAUUGCCCAACCAGAGUCUGUGAAAGGAGAAAGAUACAUGGCAACAGUGCCAACCUUCAAAAACUCUGACACUCCACCGUUGUCUUCUUGGAAUGCUGUGUAAAACUGUCUCAGAGUUUUCUCUGGCCAAACCGAUUGUUUAAAGAGUUUAAAUGUGGUUCUGGCCAAAGGAUGAUUUAUGUACCCAUCUUAUAUACUGUGACUAGUCUUACAAUAACUCUUACAAGCUAAAGGCUUACCAAAACAAAGGUUAUCUGUUCAAUCUCCUCUGCUCUGAUUUCUUCUUCCGCAUUUUCCACUUCGCCUUUACCAAUUUUUCUAUACCCAUGUUUCCUCUACCAGCUUCAAUCCAAUUACUUAUGCUUCCCUAGCUACCAAUUAAUCAGCUUCUUCUCUUUGAACUUCUAGUCAACAACUUCUAUAGUAAAAACAUCAUUGUUAUUUUCGGUUUUGGUUAAUUAUGCACUUCAUCAUCAACUUGAAGUUCAACAACUCUGCUCGCGCGAGGGAGAUGAAUCCAUGGCAACUUGCGGAAUGAGGAGGAUAAAGCUGGGAAGUCAAGGCCUUGAGGUAUCGGCGCAAGGCUUUGGUUGCGCUCACUACGGUCCUUCAAAGCCGGAAACUGACGACAUUGCUCUCCUCCAUCACGCUAAUAUCUCCGGUCCUCACACCAAUGAAUUGCUCCUCGCCAAGGUUUUGAUUUCGAUCAGUUUCGAGAGAUUGUUAGAGAUGUUUGGGGUUUGUGUGUUCUCAUUUGGUCGAAUCCCAAACAACAAAAACUUGGCAUUGAUUCUUUUCAUGAAUUUCAUAUUUGUAGUAUGUAGAGAUGAUGAUUACAUUGUUGAAUUUGUUUAACUCUGCCAGGCUUUGAAGGAUGGUAUGAGGGAGAAAGUAGUGCUUGCUACCAAAUUUGGAUGCAUUUUGGUUAAGGGAAAGAGAGAUGUUAGAGGAGAUCCUGAGUAUGUUAGAGCUGCGUGUGAGGCUAGUUUAAAGCGGCUAGAUGUUUCCUGCAUUGAUCUUUAUUAUCAACAUCGGGUCGAUGCGCGCGUCCCUAUUGAAAUCACCGUAAGCCCUCCUCUUGCAAAUCCUCAUCCAUGCCAUUGUUUCAAAGUUUUCAAGUCAGUUCGUCUUAGUCUUGGGAAAUGAUUGAACUAAUAGGCUCUCUGACAGUAGAUUGGAGGCGAUGAUAUUCGCUUGCGUCACUUUAAGUGAACAUUGGAGCUUUAUCAGUGAAACUCACUCCAGAAGAGAUUUCUGAGCUCGAGACCAUUUCCCAACCAGAGUCUGUGAAAGGAGAAAGAUACAUGGCCACAGUGCCAACCUUCAAGAACUCCGACACACCACCGUUGUGUUCUUGGAAUGCUGUGUAAAACUGUUUGUGAGUUUCUCUGGCCAAACCUAUGGUUUUAAGAGUUUAAGGUGGCUCUAGCCAAAGGAUGAUUUAUGACUUUAUGUAUAGAAUACAUUAUUUUCUACCCAUCUUAUACACUGUGAGUCUGUGACCAGGUCUCUGCAUAGUCUUAGUGAUCCAUAUCAGCAUGAUUUAAACGUCCCACCUGGCUUAGCGUUAGGAGUUUUAGACACCUAAUGGCUAAUGCCAAUGAGUAUUCCCAUCAUAUUUGAACAUUUUCCACUUCUUCCAUUUAAAACUUAGCUAGAGCCAAUGAUUUGGAACCAGCCUACAAGACUUCCAAGUAGACAAACUAUAGGUGACAAAAGAUAAAACUUGCCACGUACAGUAUUCUCAAAUAAAGAACACAAAUUGUAGAUAAGAACAUGAAGACCAAAAACUACCUAAUAAUACAAAACUUGCCUACUCAAGAAGACAUGACUCGUUGACUCAGGAUUCAAGACCAUGAAAAAAACAAAUAAUCGAUUAGGUGAAGACUACUGAGCACAAAGUGUUGACACAUCUUUGAAGAUAUAUCACUCAAACACGUACGUAUACAUAGUUCUCAUGUAAGACUAAAAGAAAGAUCUUUUGUAAAAGCACUUUUGUAAAAGAAAGAGGCAAUUUGAGAGUUUUUUUAAUCACACCACUCAUCAACCCAACUUCAACAACUACUCCACUCAGUUCUAAACUCUACAAAAGAGAGAAAGAGAGAGUGAGAUUUGUGACAAAAAUCCAUGGCUGAAGCUUGCAGAGUGAGGAGGAUGAAGCUAGGAAGCCAAGGCCUUGAGGUAUCGGCACAAGGCCUUGGUUGCAUGGCCCUCUCCGCUCGCUACGGUGCUCCCAAGCCGGAAACUGAAGCCAUCGCUCUCCUCCACCAUGCUAUCAACUCUGGUGUUACUUUCUUUGACACCUCUGACAUGUACGGUCCUGAGACCAACGAGUUGCUCCUAGGCAAGGUUCGAUCUACGACUUUAUCUUUUUUUAUUCAAAAGAUUGUCCUAGAUAUUUUGGUUUUUUAUCUUUUAGGAAACAAACUUAGACCACAACAAGAUU
rnacentral:lncRNA from 1 species